ensembl:ncRNA lncRNA:CR45755 long non-coding RNA:CR45755
GUCUGACAUUGAGCCACUUUGCGACCGGUCGCCUGUCUCCUGUCUCCAGUCUCCUGUCUGCAGUCUCCCGGCUCUCCCCUCAUCACCACGAAUGCUCUCCACAUCGUCAGUGGCCGCCGUCUGGCGGGGAGAGCUGUAAUCGUGGGCACACCGAAAGAAUAUAUUCCCCAAUGAUCUGAAACUAAGAAUCCAUAAGUUAGGUUUAUUACGAAGACAGCAAUGAAAUAAAUUCGUAUCCCGUUGAAAAUAAGCCAUCUAUGCUUGAAAACGAACUAGGAACUAAGCAAAUAC